CCUACGGGUGGCAGCAGUGGGGAAUAUUGGGCAAUGGAGGCAACUCUGACCCAGCAACGCCGCGUGAAUGAUGAAGGUCUUCGGAUUGUAAACCUCUUUUGUCGGGGAGCAAAGCGAGUCACGUGUGACUCAUUGAGAGUACCCGAAGAAAAAGCAUCGGCUAACUCCGUGCCAGCAGCCGCGGUAAUACGGAGGAUGCGAGCGUUAUCCGGAUUUAUUGGGUUUAAAGGGUGCGCAGGCGGAGGUGCAAGUCAGCGGUCAAAUUGCGGGGCUCAACCCCGUACUGCCGUUGAAACUGCAUCCCUUGAGUGCGCGAGAAGUAGGCGGAAUGCGUGGUGUAGCGGUGAAAUGCAUAGAUAUCACGCAGAACUCCGAUUGCGAAGGCAGCAUACCGGAGCCCAACUGACGCUGAAGCACGAAAGCGUGGGUAUCGAACAGGAUUAGAUACCCUUGUAGUC
rnacentral:rRNA from 1 species